rnacentral:lncRNA from 1 species
UUAGGCCCCCCAGAACAAAGUCCUUCUGGGUCCUCUCCCUUCCAGGACCCUCUAGGCAGCCCGGUCACCCCCAGGCCAGACUCCAGGGCGAGUCCCCUCCCAACCCAGCUGGCAGUUCGCGGGUGUCCCAGGCGCUGAUCCGCUCCUUCAGCUCCACCGCCCGGAACCGCUUUCAGAACCGAGUGCGCGAGAAACAGAAGCUCUUCCAGGAGGACAAUGACAUCCCGUUGUACCUGAAGGGCGGCAUCGUUGACAACAUCCUGUACCGAGUGACAAUGACGCUGUGUCUGGGCGGCACUGUCUACAGCUUGUACUCCCUUGGCUGGGCCUCCUUCCCCAGGAAUUAAGACCAAGAAGCCUGGGGGGCCUGAGAGACUUGAACAAGUGUCAAUAAACGCUGGCCUCUG